rnacentral:rRNA from 1 species
UACGAAGGGGGCUAGCGUUGUUCGGAAUUACUGGGCGUAAAGCGCGCGCAGGCGGUUCUUUAAGUCAGGGGUGAAAGCCCAGAGCUCAACUCUGGAAUUGCCUUUGAUACUGAGGAUCUUGAGUUCGGGAGAGGUGAGUGGAACUGCGAGUGUAGAGGUGAAAUUCGUAGAUAUUCGCAAGAACACCAGUGGCGAAGGCGGCUCACUGGCCCGAUACUGACGCUGAGGCACGAAAGCGUGGGGAGCAAACAGG